GAGAGGAGGAGGAGUAGGAGGAGGAGGGAUAACCAGUCUACUAUAGCUACAUGAGAGAGGAGGAGGAUGGAGAACCAGUCUAGUAAAGAUACAUUAGAGAGGAGGAGGAGGGAGAAACAGUCUAUUAUAGAUACAUUAGAGAGGAGGAGGGAGGACCAGUCUAGAACAGCUACAUUAGAGAGGAGGAGGUAGAACCAGUCUAGUACAGCUGCAUUAAAGAGGAGAAAGAACCAGUCUAGUAUAGCUACAUUAGAGAGGAAGAGGAGGGAGAACAAGUCAAGUAUAGCUACAUUAGAGAGGAGGAGGAGGGACAACCAGUCUAGUAUAGAUGCCUUAGAGAGGAGGAGAAGGGAGAACCAGUCUAGUACAGCUACAUUAAAGAGAAGGGGGGAGAACCUGUCUAGUAUAGCUACAUUAGAGAGGAGGAGGGAGAACCAGUCUAGUAUAGAUACAUUAGAAAGGAGGAGGGAGAACCCGUCUAGUACAGCUACAUGAAAGAGUAGAAGGAGGGAGAACCAGUAUAGUAUAGAUACAUUAGAGAGGAGGAGGAGGGAGAAUCACUCUAGUAUAGCUACAUUAGAGAGGAGGAGCAGGAGGGUGAACCAGUCUAGUACAGCUACAUUAGAGAGGAGGAGGAGGGAGAACCAGUCAAGCAUAGAUACAUUAGAGAGGAGGAGGAGGGAGAACCAGUGGAGUAAAGCUACAUUAGAGAGGAGGAGGAAGAACCAGUCUAGUACAGCUACAUGAGAGAGGAGGAGGGAGAACCAGUCUAGUAAUUCUACAUUAAAGAGGAGGAGGGAGAACCAGUCUAGUAUAGAUACAUUAGAGAGGAGGAGAAAGAACCAGUCUAGUAUACAUUAGAGAGGAGAAGUGAGAACAAGUCAAGUAUAGCUACAUUAGAGAGGAGGAGGAGGGACAACCAGUCUAGUAUAGAUGCCUUAGAGAGGAGGAGGAGGGAGAACCAGUUGAGUAAUGCUACAUUAAAGAGGAGGAGGGAGAACCAGUCUAUUAUAGAUACAUUAGAGAUGAGGGGGGAGGACCAUUCUAGUACAGCUACAUUAGAGAGGAGGAGGAGAGAGAACCAGUCCAGUGCAGCUACAUUAGAGACGAGGAGGAGUAGGAGGAGGAGGGAUAACCAGUCUACUAUAGCUACAUUAGAGAGGCGGAGGAGGGAGAACCAGUCUAGUACAGCUACAUUAAAGAGGAGGGGGGAGAACCAGUCUAGUAUAGCUACAUUAGAG
ensembl:lncRNA